CCUACGGGAGGCAGCAGUGAGGAAUAUUGGUCAAUGGACGGAAGUCUGAACCAGCAAUGCCGCGUGCAGGAUGACGGCCCUAUGAGUUGUAAACUGCUUUUGUAAAAGGGUAAACCUGAAUACGUGUAUUCAGCUGAAAGUACUGUUAGAAUAAGGAUCGGCUAACUCCGUGCCAGCAGCCGCGGUAAUACGGAGGAUCCAAGCGUUAUCCGGAUUUAGUGGGUUUAAAGGGUGCGUAGUCGGAUUGAUAAGUUAGAGGUGAAAUGUCCGAGCUUAACACGGGAACUGCCUCUAAUACUGUUGAUCUAGAGAGUAGAUGCGGUAGGCGGAAUUCAUGGUGUAGCGGUGAAAUGCUUAGAGAUCAUACAGAACACCGAUUGCGAAGGCAGCUUACCAAUCUAUAUCUGACAUUGAGGCACGAAAGCGUGGGGAGCAAACAGGAUUAGAUACCCCUGUAGUC
rnacentral:rRNA from 1 species